UAAAAGGUUAAGCUGGAAGGGUGGUGACCAGACCAGCUGUGUGUUCCUGGGCCCACGCUGUUUGCUGGCUGUGGACUGCAUCGUUGAUGGUGUUCGGCUGGUAGCGUUACCUGGGCGUGGGUGUUCGUCGCCGCAGGGUUGCACCACAUUGGAUACACCAAGAUUUGAUUUGGAAGUGUUGAUUUAUGCAAUGCAGUUUUUGCACUGCCUCCUGCUGUCCCUUUUAGCGUUUGGGUUUUUUUUUUUUUCUUUUUUGUUAGUUCGCCUAGUUAGGAUCAUUUUUCUGCUUGUAGUACUUGUGAGGGCGGGCUGACAACUUUUUCAUUCAUUUUGUUUGCUGUGUUUUUUGUUUAUUUUGUGGCACUUCCCUGAAUUCUUCUAUCCUGUUUGGCGUGAUCUCCAUGUUGGGCUGACAACGAACGGAUAAAGCUAGCGGGGAAUCCUUCAUGUAUUCAACAAUAAAUAUCAAUAAUUAACUU